UGGGGGAAUAUUGCACAAUGGGCGAAAGCCUGAUGCAGCAACGCCGCGUGAGUGAUGAAGGUCUUCGGAUUGUAAAGCUCUGUCUUUUGGGACGAUAAUGACGGUACCAAAGGAGGAAGCCACGGCUAACUACGUGCCAGCAGCCGCGGUAAUACGUAGGUGGCGAGCGUUGUCCGGAUUUACUGGGCGUAAAGGGUGCGUAGGCGGAUGUUUAAGUGAGAUGUGAAAUACCCGGGCUUAACUUGGGUGCUGCAUUUCAAACUGGANAUCUAGAGUGCAGGAGAGGAGAAUGGAAUUCCUAGUGUAGCGGUGAAAUGCGUAGAGAUUAGGAAGAACACCAGUGGCGAAGGCGAUUCUCUGGACUGUAACUGACGCUGAGGCACGAAAGCGUGGGUAGCAAACAGGAUUAGAUACCCUGGUAGUCCACGCCGUAAACGAUGAGUACUAGGUGUAGGAGGUAUCGACCCCUUCUGUGCCGCAGUAAACACAUUAAGUACUCCGCCUGGGAAAUACCGAUCGCAAGAUUAAAAC
rnacentral:rRNA from 1 species